UUACUGUUGCAAAGUCUUGAACCAAAAUAACAAAACAAAGAUGAAAGAAACAGCACAGCUGGCCAGCACAAGCUUUACUCACAUGAUCCAUUGCUGGAAGUCUCAGGCUGGUCUUCACCCUGUUGAGAGAAUCAAGAACCUACGUCCAAGAACUGUCCUUUGGAUCAACAGGACCAAACUGUUCCAGUUUGGAAUUUAUUUCUGCCUAAAAGUUGGAGGGGAAGAAAGGAGGAAAGAAGAUUGGAGUGCUCAGUUUGGAUUUUCAGCUCCGAAUUUAUCAAAACCUACACAGAAAGCCUUCAUGGUUCUUAGCCAUAUCCCCCUCAUAGCUGGUAAGAUUAACCCAAGCACAAUGAUGUCUAGCUUGGCCUCAGCAGAUAUGCUAUUUCAAGCUAAACAAACCAAGCACAUUUCACACAAGUCUUACUAUCUGUAAAUUCAUGGAGAGGCUCACCUCAAGUUCCUCAUUGUACACUUCAGCAUUUGAAAUUAGAUUCUUUAAGUUGGUAAUUUCAUGCAUUAGUUGAAUCUGUGGAGCAAAUUAAAGCAAAAUUGCAGAGGAUGUUAAAAGCACCCACGCCCGUAGCUUUAGCUGCCAACACCAUGAAAACAAGCCAGUCUAUCUUGUGUCUUCUUUUUUAUUAGUGUAUACUCACACAUCUGCUUAAACAGCUACAAAGCAAGAUGCUGCAUAUUCUUUCAAAGUGGAUAUGUGAGAUGCAAAGCUCUGUGUUUUAGCUCCCCAGUAAUUAGAAAGGAUUCAAGUACAAUUUAAUCUGCAAUAGUUUGAAAAGCAAGAGCAAUGUGAUCAAAGCAAUUAACGCAAAAAUUGUACAGAUACAACACUUCAAAUUCCAGUCAUGUUAAGCAGCUUUUUAUGACACAGUGCAGAUAUUUAUGAUUUAAUCUAUUCACUCACAGGAGUGAGAAGAUGCCAAAAUGGAACUUAAACAAGCCAUGAACACAUUCAGUGGCAUUCUCUGAAAGAAGCCACAAGUAGAAGUUCAGUUAGGAGCUUUUUCCAUUUCUUUCUAUUGGUCUUUGUUAGGAAAGUUUUACAAUAAGCACUCAUCUACAAGUACUUAUGUAUAGUCACAAGCAAAGGUGAGAAAAUUCAAUCUGCAAAUUUGAUAUUAGUGAAAAGCUUUAAAACAAGCACACUCCUGUGAGCAUUCCUAUGUUGUUUACCUGUAUAAACUGAUACAUUUAAUGUAUUUGGUAAUGUAUGUGACAUAUCAGUAUUGCUACAAGUAAUCUACUACAUGGGUAUCAAUAAAUGUUUACAUUUUAUGGACUGUCAUCAGAUAUCUGC